rnacentral:rRNA from 1 species
AGUGAACGCUGGCGGCGUGCUUAAUACAUGCAAGUCGAACGAUGAAGCUGCUAGCUUUCGCUCAUAGGAUUGGCGGCUCACGGGUGAGUAAUAUAUAGUUAAUCUUCCUUUCAUUCAGGAACAACAGUGUGAAACGAUUUCUAAUACUUCAUACUCCAACUUAGCAUAAGAUAAGUUGGAAAAUUCUUUUCGGUGCAAGAUGAGACUAUAUCGUAUCAUCUAGUUGUUAAGGUAAUGGCGUACCAAGGCUAUGACGCGUAACUGGUCAUAGAGGAUGAUCAGCAACAUUGGAACUGAGACACGGGCGGGAAUCCUAGGGGAGGCAGCAGUAAGGAAUAUCGUGCAAUGGGGGAAAGCGUGACGCAGCAUCGCCGUGUGAAGGAUGAUAGUUUGCGGAGAGUAAAAUCCUUUUGUUACGGCAGAAUAAUGACGGUACCUAAAGAAUAAGCACCGGCUAACUCCGU